GUACGGGACUUGAAACACGAGAGGGCGCUGUUUCCGAUCAGCUGGUGAUAUGAUCAUGAUGCAUGCUGCGUAGUGCGUACGUGCGUGUAUAUGGAUGAACACUUGAUGUUGUGUCCUAAACUUGUUAAACUUCGGAACAGUUCUAAUCUAAGAUUUCUUCCAGAUCCGUGAAUCGGCCAACUGACCCCGGCCAUCUCUCCCCACGACGACAACCGCGUCGUGGACAGCAGGGAUUAGCGACGAUAGUGACGCGGUCCUGGAAUGCCGGCGUGACACGCCAGGUCAUCCGCGGCAGUCCCCCCGUUAUCAUCCUGAUCAAUCGGGGUUGUUUUUGCGAGUCAUCACGAGCCAGCACAACAACAGGACGGCUGGGCUGGCGGCGGUUACGGAUGCACGGACGGUUAUAGCUCGACUAUGCUCCGCGGCUAGAAAGUGAAACCAAUAAAGAGAAGGAAAAAAAACCAAAAGGCAGUUUGAUGAAGAUGCUGCAGGGUGGAGCCCACCAGCGAGGCUGAUUACGUCAAUACCAAGCCCGACCUCAACCCCUCCAGAGCCCCUCCAUCGGCCAGCUGUGUGUGUGAGAGAGAGAGAGGUGGGUGAUAAGGUCUGAGUUCGUAUUGGCUGCAGGCGUUGACAAUCGAGCUGUCGUGAUUGCGCACAUCCAGCCAAUUCACCCCAGUAAACCAUUCACCCCUUCAACCAACCCCCACCACCGACCGACGACCUCCGACCUGUGGAUAAAAACCCUACCGUUGUCGAUCCCAUCCGGCUUGUGUCUUUCCAACUUGGAUUCUACGGGUGUCUCACUCAGUCAAGCCACCUCGCAGCAUUCCAGUUUUUGUUAUUUUGCCAAGACACCGAGGGAUAAAAAACAAGGAGGAGUUUUCUUGCAAGCAGCAUGCAGUGGGAUAAGCUAAGUCCGGGCCAGUUUGAGCAGUUGCUAGAUUACGUCACCUGUAAGUAAAACAUUCUUUCUUGCUGAUUCUAUUUUUUUUAUUUCCUGACCUUGACAUUGAGCUCAGUUAUUAACAGAUGGUCUGUCACUAAUACCCAAGCAUGCCACCAGAAGACAAACUUGUGUUUGACAUUUUCCUUAUAAGUCAAAGCAAUCUUAACUCUUUGGCAGACUUGAAAAAUGUAAGGUUCAAAGAAUGACAUUUUUCCUGUCCC